UACGGGGGGGGCAAGCGUUGUCCGGAAUCACUGGGCGUAAAGGGCUCGUAGGCGGCCCACUAAGUCAGACGUGAAAUCCCUCGGCUUAACCGGGGAACUGCGUCUGAUACUGGAUGGCUUGAGUUCGGGAGAGGGAUGCGGAAUUCCAGGUGUAGCGGUGAAAUGCGUAGAUAUCUGGAGGAACACCGGUGGCGAAGGCGGCAUCCUGGACCGACACUGACGCUGAGGAGCGAAAGCCAGGGGAGCAAACGGG
rnacentral:rRNA from 1 species